rnacentral:rRNA from 1 species
UACGUAGGGGGCAAGCGUUGUCCGGAUUUAUUGGGCGUAAAGCGCGUGUAGGCGGCUUGGCAAGUCCGCUGUGAAACUCGAGGCUCAACCUCGAGAUGUCGGUGGAAACUGCCUGGCUAGAGUCCGGGAAGAGGAGUGUGGAAUUCCUGGUGUAGCGGUGAAAUGCGCAGAUAUCAGGAAGAACACCUAUGGCGAAGGCAGCACUCUGGGACGGUACUGACGCUGAGACGCGAAAGCGUGGGGGAGCGAACAGG